rnacentral:rRNA from 1 species
CAAUAGCGUAUAUUAAAGUUGUUGCAGUUAAAAGCUCGUAGUUGGAUUUCUGCCAGGGUGCCAAUGUCCGCCGAAGUGCGUGCGCAGCGGCGCCCUCGCAUCCUUCUGUUAACGCCUCUCGGCAUUUACUUGCCGGUGGUGGGCUCAGAUAAUUUACCUUGAGAAAAUUAGAGUGUUUCAGGCAGGCUAGGCCGGAAUACAUUUGCAUGGAAUAAUGGAAUAGGACCCUGGUUCUAUUUUGUUGGUUUUGAGAACCAGAGUAAUGAUUAAUAGGGAUAGUUGGGGGCGAUUCAUAUUUCUAUUGUCAGAGGUGAAAUUCUUGGAUUUAUGAAAGAAUGAACUUCUGCGAAAGCAUUUGCCAAGGAUGUUUUCUAUUAAUUCAAGAACGAAAGUUAGGGGAGUCGAAGACGAUCAGAUACCAU